rnacentral:SRP_RNA from 1 species
GAUUGGGUCCUGUGCAAACAGUGCCCGUGAACCGAGUCAGGGUCGGAAGGCAGCAGCUCUCAGCGGAACCAUUGUUG